rnacentral:rRNA from 1 species
UACGGAGGGGGCUAGCGUUAUUCGGAAUUAUUGGGCGUAAAGUGUGCGCAGGUGGCCGCGCAAGUCGAGUGUGAAAUCCCCGAGCUUAACUUGGGAAUUGCGCUCGAAACUACGUGGCUCGAGUGUGGUAGGGGAGACUGGAAUUCCUGGUGUAGCGGUGAAAUGCGCAGAUAUCAGGAGGAACACCGGUGGCGAAGGCGGGUCUCUGGGCCAUAACUGACGCUGAGGAGCGAAAGCGUGGGGAGCAAACAGG